ensembl:lncRNA
CAAAACGUUUUAUUUAUUUGUAUAGUUAACUUUAUAUUUAACUAGGCCAUUUAUGAGGCCUGUUUCCCAUUUACAGUCUACUUAUCUUGAAUUAUCUUGUUCAACCUCAAAAGAGAUUUUUUUUUUUUUUGUGGUUGUUUUACAUAUGAAUGCAAUCUAUAUACAGUAGUUACUUGCGUAGAGCAGGAGAGACAUGCUGAAAUGUGAUUAUGCUUCUUUUUUACUCUCUUUCUUAUAAAGAAAAGGUAGAGUAUGAUGUCCCGAGGCGGCCGUGACUCACCUGUGCAAACAGGAGGUUGGAAAGACUGGUUUUAAAUCCGCCAAAUCCACCAUAUUCUGCAACUGACUGCCAGCUUUAUAUUCUUCCUUAAUUAACCACAAAUUUUAGUACUUAAGAACUUUGUCUGUGCCAUUCAUGAUGCUAAAGUUAAUUUCUUUUAAUUGCAGACAGUUAGUAGCUCUACAGAAGAGGAGGACGAGUAAUGUCUUGAUUUACUAGGAUUGAAAGUACAACUAGGGAGAGAGAAAACACCAUUACAGAAUAGGACCAGUGGAAACUAUACUUCCCAAAGGUCCUUUAUGUCACCUGUUGAAUACUGGGAUUGCGAGCCAUUGUGCAGUGAUUUACACAGAUUUUUCUGUCAGGAGAGAAGGCUUUGUGGCAGACAAUGCCUUUUGUUGGCGGGCACAAAGAAGAGGCUGGAUGGUGACGGUGCUUUGUGAGCAGGUGGGCUCCAUAUACAUAGAGCUUCAGAUUCCUGCAGUGGGGUCUGCAAUGUGGAGGAACAGGAGAGACGGGUUUAUCUGAUGGCACAUAUUUACUCAUCCUACUGUCUUGCCCUGGAGCUGCAAUGGCAAUGUCCAGACC